ensembl:processed_transcript B430212C06Rik RIKEN cDNA B430212C06 gene
GGGCACCUGUGGCCUUUUUUCGGAGGAACCUCUGGCUGCUGGGCUCGUGGGUAGGAACAGGCCCGGCACGGGGGUUGGGGGGACUAAGGCCCAGGGAGCAAAGACCCAGGAGACGAUCCAACACAGGACACAAAAUGGCAUAUAAUCCAUCAUAAUCCCACCACCUUGUGCCCAUCCAAUCAUAGAUACAGAGGAGUACUGCCGCUAAGAUUUCCCUACUUCCAGGGACAUAUAAUCUCACAUAUGCUUUCUGUCCAGGACAGCUGCGGGAACCAAGUGGUCUGAGUCUGUGGUGCAGUUCACCAUCACGGACAACAGAGGGCGCUUUACCCUUAGGAAGGCAGGGCCAGUUCCUGUGCCUCAGCAGCCCCUACGGAGUCUUCCAUCGGGAACUGCGGGGGAAACCAUGCCCUGGUUGCGGAAGGCUCCUGGCUGAUGCUGGAUGGAGAGAAGGAAUAUCUUUGCUGAGACAAGCCGUGAUCCUUCUUGCUGAUGAUCCGGUCGCAGGGGGUGGCUGGAAGAUGCUGUCCUUGACCUGAGCAGCCCACAGCCUCAUCUGUCCCCCAGACAUGCAGGGAUCUGCUUACCAAUAUAGCUUUCCCAAUGUUGAACAUGUUUACAUAUCUUCAACAUUCAGGCUAACGGCACUUGGAAAAUAGGGUUAUCCUGAAGGGGGGGCAUCUUAAUUCACUGUUCAGUCUGAGACAUUGUGAGUCUUCAGCUUUCUGUAUGUAUCUGUAUGUAAGGUCCUUCUGCCAGAGGACACGCCUAUCAUAUGACUGACAGCAUUCUCCCCCCAAUGGCAUUGUAUUUGCUACCUGGAGCUCCUGCUUCUAUAAGUAUUUCCCUACCCACGUCACACCUUUCCUCCCUCACCACCUGAUGGCCUACUCCGGGUCCUCACCCAACCCCACUGACAGUUCCAAGGUCAUCCACACAGUCACUUUGAAGCCUGGAGGGCUUGCUUGCCCAUGCUGUACCCUUGCCCAGCUUCCCCACCAUGCCCAAUGUCUCAUUGGGUACCAUGAGUCUGCAGACUCAGCGGCUGGCUCCUGGGGCAUGGAUCCACAAGCAGUUAGUACUCAUCAAGAGUCACAAGCAGAACUUCCAACAACAAAAGGUUCCAGUUCAGGCCAUCUGUUGGGGGCAGCUGCUGGCAUGCCUAGGUUGAGUGGUGGUGAGUGUUAGCCCAGGCAAACAGCUGGACGCACCAUGGCCCAGUCUCUCCCCAUGCUGGCUACAUUGUAGCCUCAACAGGUAGCUUUUCCAAGUGAUUCUGUAUCACCACUGUCUCAAAGUUACUUUUCCACUGCUGUGAUAAGACAUGGCGACCAAGGCAUCUUGUAGAGGAGUUUAUUUGGGACUUACAGUUUCAGAGGGUUAGACUCCAUGACCAUCAUGGGGGAAACAUGGCAGCAGGCAUGGCCCUGGAGCAGUAACCGAGAGCUCAUAUCUUGAUCCACAAAACAGUUAACUGGGAACGGCAUGGGCUUUCAAAACCCCAAAGCCCACCCCUCAGUGACACACCCCUUCCAAACAGUUCCACUAACUGGGGACCAGGCAUAGAACUAUCCUGAUCCCUUCACAGAUAGUGAUUAGUGGGGCUGGCUGAAUUGGGAAGCCUGGGAGAGAAAGGGGUGAAGCAGCCAGGACAAGAAGCCGCGAUCUGGGGGGUGGUUUCCACAGUGCCUGCUCUUCCUGGGAGUCUGUGUUGAUGAGCACAUUUCUCCUGGUCCCUACUGGAGCACCAUUUAAUCUGCUUAUAGGACUUCCACUCCCAAGCCUACAACAGUCUAAGCUCAGUGGUUAAACUGUAUCCUCACACACAGCCCUGCCCAUCCUGUCCAUUCACUGGCUCUGAAGGAUUCGGGCUAUACACUUGGAUCUUCUGACUGUGUGUGUACCUACCCUAUGUACGUACAUGGGGGUCAGAGGAUGGCACGGGAGUCUCCCUCAGUCACUCUCCACCUUAUUUUUUGAGUUAGUCCCUCCCUGAACUGGAAGGUCACCAGUUGGGUAGAGUAGCAAGCCCCAGAGACCUUCCUGAUGCCCAUCUCCAGUGUGGCAUCUCAAAGCAUGUCCUCAUGCCUGCAGGCAAAAACUUACCAACCAAACCACCUCCCCAGGCCCUGCUUACACGUUUAAACACUUGCUCUAGUUACACUUUACCUCCAUAGGAAAAACAGAGAUGAAUGUUGUUUCCAUCUGGGGAGAGGCACAGGCAGUAUAUUCUGAGCUAUACCAAGAACCUGGAGUGGAGACUGUAAAUGGUUUUUCAAUCUGUCUAAGCUGUGGGGCAGCCCAACAAGACAUUUCUGGUUUUCUUUAAUAGGUGAGGUACUCUAUUGAGCCAUGGGAGAUGUUACAAUCUUUUAACUUUUAAAUAAUAAUUAACUGUGCACAGUAAAGUGCCUAUCUACAAUGAUUAGUAUCAUAUACUUUAAGAUGCUAGAACAAAUCUCUUGAAUGUUUUCUCAUAAAAGAAACGGCGAAUCACUGGGUAGGCUUUACUGACUUAAAUAUUACAUAGUGCACAUUGAAAUAUCACAUGUACCUCAUAAAUAUAUAACUUCUACAUCUU